UGGGGAAUUUUGGACAAUGGGCGCAAGCCUGAUCCAGCAAUGCCGCGUGCAGGAAGAAGGCCUUCGGGUUGUAAACUGCUUUUGUACGGAACGAAAAGGCUCUGGUUAAUACCUGGGGCAUAUGACGGUACCGUAAGAAUAAGCACCGGCUAACUACGUGCCAGCAGCCGCGGUAAUACGUAGGGUGCAAGCGUUAAUCGGAAUUACUGGGCGUAAAGCGUGCGCAGGCGGUUUUGUAAGACAGGCGUGAAAUCCCCGGGCUCAACCUGGGAAUUGCGCUUGUGACUGCAAGGCUGGAGUGCGGCAGAGGGGGAUGGAAUUCCGCGUGUAGCAGUGAAAUGCGUAGAUAUGCGGAGGAACACCGAUGGCGAAGGCAAUCCCCUGGGCCUGCACUGACGCUCAUGCACGAAAGCGUGGGGAGCAAACA
rnacentral:rRNA from 1 species